rnacentral:tRNA from 1 species
GCCUAGUUAGCUUGGUUGGUAGAGCGUCUGCCUUGUAAGCGCUAGGUUGCGGGUUCGAGUCCCGCCUGGGGCG